ensembl:snoRNA
UAGACUAACGAUGAGUAUUCUGUGAUAGCUGAAUCAAUGAUUUUGAUUAAACCUUAAAACUCUAAGGUCUAU